UGGGGAAUAUUGGACAAUGGGCGCAAGCCUGAUCCAGCCAUGCCGCGUGUGUGAUGAAGGCCUUAGGGUUGUAAAGCACUUUCGCCGAUGACGAUAAUGACUGUAGUCGGAGAAGAAGCCCUGGCUAACUUCGUGCCAGCAGCCGCGGUAAUACGAAGGGGGCAAGCGUUGUUCGGAUUUACUGGGCGUAAAGCGUACGUAGGCGGAUGAUUAAGUCAGGGGUGAAAUCCCGGGGCCCAACCUCGGAACUGCCUUUGAUACUGGUCGUCUUGAGUCCGGGAGGGGAGAGUGAAACUCCUAGUGUAGGGGUGAAAUUCGUAGAUAUGAGGAAGAACACCAGUGGCGAAGGCGGCUCACUGGCCCGAAACUGACGCUGGGAUACGAAAGCGUGGGGAGCAAAC
rnacentral:rRNA from 1 species